CUGCUCCAGAAGCCAAAGCUGAUGUGCCAGCCAGGGAGCCCACACCAGUCCCACCCCUUGGGGAAGUUGCCAGGAAUUAUCCUAGGCUCUUCAGACUGGAGCCACUAGGUGACAGCUCUGCAGGACAAGCUCAAAGGGCCUCCUGGCCCUGCAGGCUUCCCACAUCAUAUCCCUGGAGAUGAACCCUGGGUUGGAAUGGUCGGGUGGUCAGAUGCAACCCUGGAAACUUGGAGUUCUGAGCCUGGAGUGAGUGGCACUCUGAGCUCUCUGCGAGCCAGCCCGGUCCCCACGGAGACUUCACCUGUCCAUAUCGUUCAACUGCCUGCAACUUCCAACUGACGAACAUCCACAGCUCUGCAGCCCAGUGACAAACACCAUCUAACAGAUAAGGCUUCUGAAAAGUCAAAGCCAAUACUGCUUCCAUUGAAAAUUUAAUGCUGGCUCCAUCUUUGCCCAUCAUUCUUCUGACUGUUGCACAUAUCCCAAGAGGCCCUUGAAGCUAAAGCACUGCUCUAUAACAGGUAAUGACGUGGCAUUUAAUGAUACUGUCCAAAGUGAUCCUGGGCUUUGGGAAGUAAUGUGCUCUCAUGUACCAGAUAAGCACCGCCAAACGUACUGAGCUGCUGUAUCUUUCACGGCCCUGUCACCAGAUACAAUGUGACACAUCCCCAGCCAUCCUACCUGCUACUCCUCCGACCCAGCAAUCAGACAAAACGCGCAUUUUCAGAGCAGAGCUCCUAAGCGUUAAGGGAAUUCAAGCAAAGGUAGAAUGGUAACAUAUCUGUAAUUAAGUAUUCACAGCCUCUUUAAUACUUCAGUGCUCUUGGAUUCGCUACUAAAAUCUGUGAAUUAUACCUCAUUGAAAAAUGUCCUUAAUCGACUCUGACAUGUUUUAUUGGAGGCAGAAAAAAUGUUUCAGUAUGAUAGAUAAGGUUAAAAAUGUUACCACUCUGAUCAUUUACUCUAGUGCCUGGCAAAAAAAAAUCCUCCAAAGCCAAAAACCAUUUACAUCAUUCAUAGGAUGCAAUAGAGAAAAAAAAAGCCUUAUCUGACAGCCCAUUUUCGCUGAUGGGACAAAGUGCACAUUUUCAAUUUUCUGACAAAGUUAUGUUGUUUAUGUAGAUAAGAGGAAAAACAACUGUAACAUUUCCACAACAUGCCAUAAGGCCUGGAAAUGUGACUUCAACUGUGAAGUAUCCCCAAGCCAUGAGGAGCAUUCCACAACUUAGCAGACAUCACCUUUAAUGCUUCAGACCAAAUCUCCUGCACUGGCAUCUCCCUCCUCUGCAGCGGGUUUUCAAAGAGCCCCAGAGCUCCUCUAGGGUGUGUCACGUGACAACUCUGCAAGUACAAAAACUCUUUCUCUCCUUGGCUUCAGCCCAAAGAGUUUGCAAAGGGAAACAUAGAAGCCAUGAAAUAGAGACCCCUUUAAAGGCUUGCUUUUUCUUCUGUACUUUGGCUGAUAUUGCUGACCCCAGAGUUGGGAAUCCAAACUCCUAAUGGUCCACAUUAAACCUGGGUACAACCUAUAACAUAAGACAGUCUACAAAUCCUGUUACCUCUUCACCUUCUUCCAGACUCCACUUACUUGUCCUCCUAGGCAGACCCACAACUACCCUUUACAAUGAUAAAAAGCCCCAGCACAGCAGAGCGUCUGGGAGGCUGUGUUCCAACCUGUAUGGUCGGUGACAAAUCUUUGGUCUAAUACUAGGGGGAUGCAUGAUCUUGGGCAAGAGACUUAAUCUCCCUGUGCCUCAGUGUGCUGAUCUGUAAAAGAAUGACAAUGGUUGAAGUGACAGUCUGCCACAGUCACAUUCCUAAUGCCCUUGUAACAGAGGUCGGCAUGUGGUUGGCGUGGAAGGAAUGUUCUUUCUGACUUGUGUGCGUGACUGCAGACUGAAUCCUGCAGAGUGGCUGCUCCAAAAUAUGUCACCAACAUUCCAUCGGUAUUUUCUAAAAGUUGUUCUGAAGUUCAAAUGAGUCGAAACACAUACAUUGCUGUUCCCAGACCUGGCAGAAAACAAAUGCUCCUAAGUGUUAACAAGGCACCCAGAACAGGAGAUGGACCUGAGAAACAAUGCCAGAAACAAAGAGCCUUGGAGAACAGGUGGCUGGAUGCACAGGAAAGAAAAAGAGAGGGAUGGAGAGAGAGACAGAUCAGAGGAAAGAAGGAUGGAAG
ensembl:lncRNA